rnacentral:lncRNA from 1 species
UCCGCCCAUUGUCACGGGACUUUGGGGUGGUGGCCAGGUGUCAUGGCAGAAACACAGGCCUUAGGUAGACCUGGGUGGACGCGAGCGGCACCUUGGCCAUGUUGCAUGUCUGUGUGUGAGCCCCAACGUGGAAGGGGACACAGCUGGCACAAGAUAGUGGAUCUGGAGUGGUCUGGGAGGGGCCGGGCCACCGUGAGCUCCGAGCACAGCAGCGCUGAUGCACACCUGAGGUAAAUCGGGCAGGACAGGAAGUUCAUGAGCCAAGCACCGGGUAUUUGUCAGCCGCUUUGCACGCAAAAUUGCAGUUGCUCAAAGCUAUGCAGGUAAAUAUUUUGCUAAAGACAAGGCAGAGACUUGGGGAGUUGGGAAUGCCACUGAUGGUCACAUAAUUCCAGGUGGGAAAGUGACGAACUCUGUGAGCUUGGGGGCCUGGCUUCAAAGCCCUUGAUCUUUCCAAAGGGCUUGGACCCUUCCUGACUGUGGGGACGAGACUGAUAUUUCCAGACUUGGAAUCUGCCGCUCCGGGCUUCCGAGUUACUGACCCUGGGGAGAGAAGCCAGUCAGGCAAGACUGACCCUUUUGGGGAUCAAGAGGUGGCCCACACAAGGAAGGCCGAGGCUCCUCCCUUGAGACAGAGACUGGCAGGUUCGCAGCGGAAGGGGCGGUCACUGUGGAAGCCGGGGGUGCUGGGCAGGAGCCAGCCUUGUCUGUGAGGUGACGGGAG